CUAUCAUGCAGUCGAACGAGGGUAGUAAUACCCUAGUGGCGAACGGGUGAGUAACACGUAGGUAACCUGCCUUUUAGCUUGGGAUACCCGAAGGAAACUUUGGCUAAUACCGGAUAAUAACAACCGAGGCAUCUCGGAUGUUUGAAAGGAGCUCUAAAGCUUCACUAAAAGAUGGACCUGCGGCGCAUUAGCUAGUUGGUGAGAUAACAGCCCACCAAGGCGAGGAUGCGUAGCCGAACUGAGAGGUUGAACGGCCACAUUGGAACUGAGACACGGUCCAAACUCCUACGGGAGGCAGCAGUAAGGAGUUUUCGGCAAUGGGGGAAACCCUGACCGAGCAACGCCGCGUGAGUGAUGACGGCCCUAUGGGUUGUAAAGCUCUGUUAUAAGGGACGAACAGCUUUGCUAGGAAAUGAGCAGAGUCUGACGGUACUUUAUCAGAAAGCCACGGCUAACUACGUGCCAGCAGCCGCGGUAAUACGUAGGUGGCAAGCGUUAUCCGGAAUUAUUGGGCGUAAAGAGUGAGCAGGCGGCAGAUUAAGUUUGAGGUUAAAGCGUGGGGCUCAACCCCAUAAAGCCUUGAAAACUGAUCAGCUAGAGUACGAGAGAUGUGAAGGGAACUCCAUGUGUAGCGGUGAAAUGCGUAGAUAUAUGGAAGAACACCAGUGGCGAAGGCGCUUCACAAGCUCGAAACUGACGCUCAGUCACGAAAGCGUGGGUAGCAAAUAGGAUUAGAUACCCUAGUAGUCCACGCUGUAAACUAUGAGAACUAAAUAUUGCCGCGAGGCAGUGUUGAAGCUAACGCAUUAAGUUCUCCGCCUGGGGAGUACGGUCGCAAGACUGAAACUUAAAGGAAUUGACGGGGGCCCGCACAAGCAGUGGAGCAUGUGGAUUAAUUCGACGCAACGCGAAGAACCUUACCAAGAUUUGACAUGGGAACUAAAGCCCUAGAAAUAGGGUCAUAUCAGGUCUACACAGGUGGUGCAUGGUUGUC
rnacentral:rRNA from 1 species